rnacentral:rRNA from 1 species
CAGUCGCCGCGGGAAUACGGAGGGUGCAAGCGUUAAUCGGAAUUACUGGGCGUAAAGCGCACGCAGGCGGUUUGUUAAGUCAGAUGUGAAAGCCCCCGGCUCAACCGGGGAGGGUCAUUGGAACUGGGAAACUUGAGUGCAGAAGAGGAGAGUGGAAUUCCACGUGUAGCGGUGAAAUGCGCAGAUAUCGGAAGGAACAUCUGUGGCGAAGGCGACUAUCUGGGCCAACACUGACACUGAGGCACGAAAGCGUGGGGAGCAAACAGGAUUAGAUACCCCCGUAGUCCCUGUCUCUUAUACA